UCCUAACUCUGCCAGUUGGAGACCUGGGU
rnacentral:piRNA from 1 species